rnacentral:piRNA from 1 species
UUUUUGAAGAGUGUUCACGGG